rnacentral:rRNA from 1 species
AGGACGAACGCUGGCGGCGUGCUUAACACAUGCAAGUCGAACGAGGCCCUACCUUCGGGUAGGUGACCUAGUGGCGAACGGGUGAGUAACACGUGGGCAACCUACCCUCAGCUCUGGGAUAACCCCGGGAAACCGGAGCUAAUACCGGAUAUGACCUUGAACGACAUCGUUCUUGGUGGAAAGUUUUUCGGCUGAGGAUGGGCCCGCGGCCUAUCAGCUUGUUGGCGGGGUAAUGGCCCACCAAGGCGACGACGGGUAGCCGGCCUGAGAGGGCGAUCGGCCACACUGGGACUGAGACACGGCCCAGACUCCUACGGGAGGCAGCAGUGGGAAUAUUGCGCAAUGGGCGAAAGCCUGACGCAGCGACGCCGCGUGAGGGAUGAAGGCCUUCGGGUUGUAAACCCCUUUCAGCAGGGACGAAGCGAAAGUGACGGUACCUGCAGAAGAAGCGCCGGCUAACUACGCGCCAGCAGCCGC